CCUUUUCCCAGAUUCAUAGAGUUUCUACCGUACAGCAAAGUCAAUCAGCUAUACGAGUCCCUUGGACUGCAGGGAGAUACAACCAGUCCAUCCUAAAGGAAAUCAACCCUGAAUAUUCACUGGAAGGACGGAUGCUGAAGCUGACGCUCUAAUACUUUGGCCACCUAAUGGGAAGAGCCGACUCACUGGAAAAGACCCUGAUACUAGGAAAGAUUGAGAUCAGAAGAGGGAGACAGAGGAUGAGAUGGUUGGAUGGCAUCACCGACUCAACAGACAUGAGUUGAAGCAAACUCUGGGAGAUGGUGAAGGACAGGGAAGCCUGUCAUGCUGCAAUCCAUGGGGUCACAGAGACUCAGACACGACUUCGUGACUGAGCAAUGAAUACAUGUAUCCCCUGUUCUUUUGGAUUUCCUUCCCAUUUAGGUUACUAUCAAUUCUGAAAAACCCAUUUGGUUAUUUUAAUUGAUAGUAAGACAAACGAAGCCAGUCACAUUCCUAUAAAUGGCGUUCUGAAGACUCAGAACACAUCCAAAAACCCAAGAAGGAGACCGCGUUGCCGUCCUAGGAUUUUAAUUGCCAUGCGCUAGCCUUCAUCCAGACGGACAGACUUCAUAAUAUGGGAGAGAGAUCCGAGUUGAGUCUAGACUUGAAGCCAGUGAGCUGUCGGAGCAUUCGUACGGAGGGUCCUCUUCGGAGAAGCUGGACUCCGAUGUUCACCAUCCGGGGUUCUCCUCUCAUGGACAUAGAAUUGGCCUUUUGUAUCUUACAGUCCAACAUCAUGUUUCCCCAAAACAAGCCUAAGGGAUUACUGUGAUGGUUGGCAACCAUCACCUUCCCCCCACCCAGCCCACCCAAGGAGUUCGUCCCCACGGCUCUUUGGUAGUAGCCCCUGAAGCAUCAUAUGUAGGAGACCAACCAAGACGCCAGAUCAUUCAUCCACAGAGAAGAAAUAAAAGCCCCUCCAUAGCGGGCGCCUCUCACAGCAAACGCUACAACAAACCCCAGAAGUCCACUCGGAUCCCACGUGGAUUUAAACAAAGCCCUCUCAACCUUCUUACAAACCCAUGUCACAAUUUUCAAUAGGACGUACUCAGCCAUUCAGUGAUGUCUGACUCUGCGACCUCAUGGACUGUAGCCCCCCAGGCUGCUCUGUCCACGGGAUUCUCCAGGCAAUAACACUGGAGUGGGUUGCCAGUUCCUCCUCCCAAGGAUCUGCCCGAGCCAGGGAUCAAACCUGAGACCUCCUGCAGAUUCUUUACCACUCAGCCACCUGGGGAAGCUAUAAAUAAACCACUCAAACAUUUAAAACCCACAUCUUGUCUUUAGUACAGCGACCCAUGUCUGGCUUUAAUCAUCUUUGUGGUGGCCAGCAUCUCCUCCUCUUAGGACAGCAGCUGACACCUGGCUUUAAUUAUCCUUGCGGUGGCCACAAACACUGACUCCCUGAGAGGGUCUGACACACUGCAUUCAUUUCCAGAACUUGGAUGCUUCUGAAGUAAGGCUUUCCCGUGGAAUUACAGCGUCUAGGGUCACAAAACAGAGGAUUGUCCCCACAUAGCUGAGUUGCAUUGGCUCACCGAGGCCCGCGAGUGCAGCUGUGAGGUGAGGUAGUGAG
ensembl:lncRNA